AGCAUCAUGCAGGGCAUGUGAUUCUGACACCCUCUUCUGUGGUGGGGGUGAGAAGGCACCGGUGCCACUAGUCCCUGACCUGUCCCUCAGACAAGUUACAAAUGAAGACUGAGGGGGUGGAGUAGCUAUGGAAACCAGGAGGGAAGGAUUUUUUUUUUUAAUGCAAAUGAAUUAGAACAAAAUGACUGGCAUCCCUUUUUCUUUUUCCAUCUGUGACAAAAGUUCUGUGUCCUGGUUUCUACCUUCACUUGGAGUAAAUUAUGGGGGAAAGAACAUCAUGAAGACCUGCUAUUGUCAGAGUGUCAUUUCCUCUUUCUAUCUUUCUGUGGAUUAAUUUUAAAUCCAUUUGAUAGAAUUAAUCAUAUAAGCCAGUCUCAUUUCCCUGCAAAUGUCUGCCUUCGUGCAGGUGAUUCUGUAGAAAGGAGUUUCUCCAAUAAAGCAGAGCUUCUCUUUCAACUCCAUGGACAUCAGAGAGAGUCCCUUUCAAAAAAGGAGGCUCAGGUCUGGAGAGACAAAGGCCUCUACUUUCGAAAAGGCCUCUUGGAUCAAGCCCAGGUCUCUAUUUUGUGGAGUUAGGACAGCAUUAAAUACAAAAUGAAGAAAA
rnacentral:lncRNA from 1 species